AGAGUUUGAUCCGUGGCUCAGGACGAACGCUGGCGGCACGCUUAACACAUGCAAGUCGAACGGAGUUAUUGGAAGCUUGCUUUUAAUAACUUAGUGGCGGACGGGUGAGUAACACGUGAGCAACCUGCCUUUGAGAGCGGAAUAGCUUCUGGAAACGGAUGGUAAUACCGCAUAACAUUACCGGACCGCAUGAUCUGGUAAUCAAAGAUUUAUCGCUCAAAGAUGGGCUCGCGGCUGAUUAGAUAGUUGGUGGGGUAACGGCCUACCAAGUCGACGAUCAGUAGCCGGACUGAGAGGUUGAACGGCCACAUUGGGACUGAGACACGGCCCAGACUCC
rnacentral:rRNA from 1 species